AUGUCUCAGUACAAGCCAAACUAAGGUGAAACCGCGAAAGGCUCAUUANNUCAGUUAUGGUUCCUUAGAUCGUACCCAAAUUUACUUGGAUAACUGUGGUAAUUCUAGAGCUAAUACAUGCAAACAGAGCUCCGCCCGGAGACGGAAGGAGUGCUUUUAUUAGAUCAAAACCAAUCGGUGGCGGGCUCGCCCGUCAUCGCACAACUUGGUGACUCUGAAUAACUUUACGCUGAUCGCACGGUCUCGCACCGGCGACGCAUCUUUCAAAUGUCUGCCUUAUCAACUGUCGAUGGUAGGUUCUGCGCCUACCAUGGUUGUAACGGGUAACGGGGAAUCAGGGUUCGAUUCCGGAGAGGGAGCCUGAGAAACGGCUACCACAUCCAAGGAAGGCAGCAGGCGCGCAAAUUACCCACUCCCGGCACGGGGAGGUAGUGACGAAAAAUAACGAUACGGGACUCAUCCGAGGCCCCGUAAUCGGAAUGAGUACACUCUAAACCCUUUAACGAGGAUCAAUUGGAGGGCAAGUCUGGUGCCAGCAGCCGCGGUAAUUCCAGCUCCAAUAGCGUAUAUUAAAGUUGUUGCGGUUAAAAAGCUCGUAGUCGAAUCUGUGUCUCGCGCCGCCGGUUCAUCGUCCGCGGUGUCAACUGGCGUGUCGCGAGACGUAUUGCCGGUGGGCUUAGCCCGCAAGGGCGGCCCAAACAAUCCCGCCGCGGUGCUCUUCACUGAGUGUCGAGGUAGGCCGGCACGUUUACUUUGAACAAACUAGAGUGCUUAAAGCAGGCUAGAACUUUGCCUGAAUAUGUGUGCAUGGAANAAUGGAAUAGGACCUCGGUUCUAUUUUGUUGGUUUUCGGAACCCCGAGGUAAUGAUUAAUAGGAACGGAUGGGGGCAUUCGUAUUGCGA
rnacentral:rRNA from 1 species